GAGGUUGUGGCUCAGCGGGAGAGUACUUGCCUCACAUGUGUGAGGCACUGGGUUCAAUUCUCAGCACCACA
rnacentral:tRNA from 1 species